CACAGAGUCCGAUGUGGGGCUCAAACCUACGAACUGUGACAUCAUGACCCGAGCCAAAGUCACACACUGAGCCAACUGAGCCACCCAGGCACCCCAAGAAAGGCAAAUUUAAAACUCCCCAAAAGAUACAGUGACCAACAAGAGGUUAAGUCCUAACUAACCCCCAGAACCUGUGAAUGUGACCUCACUUGGAAAUAGGGUCUUUGCACAUGUAAUAUAUGAGAUGAUGUGCUGGAUGAGGGAGAACGGAAGAGCGCCUGCCCGCCCAGCCCGCCUCGGGUGGGAUGCAGGGCACACGAGAG